rnacentral:misc_RNA from 1 species
CGUAACAAGGUCUCCGUUGGUGAACCAGCGGAGGGAUCAUUACUGAGUUUACGCUCUAUAACCCUUUGUGAACAUACCUAUAACUGUUGCUUCGGCGGGUAGGGUCUCCGUGACCCUCCCGGCCUCCCGCCCCCGGGCGGGUCGGCGCCCGCCGGAGGAUAACCAAACUCUGAUUUAACGACGUUUCUUCUGAGUGGUACAAGCAAAUAAUCAAAACUUUUAACAACGGAUCUCUUGGUUCUGGCAUCGAUGAAGAACGCAGCGAAAUGCGAUAAGUAAUGUGAAUUGCAGAAUUCAGUGAAUCAUCGAAUCUUUGAACGCACAUUGCGCCCGCCAGCAUUCUGGCGGGCAUGCCUGUUCGAGCGUCAUUUCAACCCUCAAGCUCUGCUUGGUGUUGGGGCCCUACAGCUGAUGUAGGCCCUCAAAGGUAGUGGCGGACCCUCCCGGAGCCUCCUUUGCGUAGUAACUUUACGUCUCGCACUGGGAUCCGGAGGGACUCUUGCCGUAAAACCCCCAAUUUUCCAAAGGUUGACCUCGGAUCAGGUAGGAAUACCCGCUGAACUUAAGCAUAUCA